AUCUCCAGCGUUCUUUUUGUUGUUGUUGUUAAUUUUAACAUAAUCUUGUGAUUAACCCGUUUGUGAAAUAACGAAUAUUAAUCAAAAGUUGUAAAUCUCUCUCUCUCUCUCUCUCUCCUUCAACAGUAGCUCCGACUAACAUAUACGUCUCCGAAUAAGUCGAUUCUUCAUCGAACGCAUUCAUCAUCUUCUUCCUUCCUUGGGAGUUUCCGGAGAGACUAAAGUCAAUCCAAAGUCUCCUUCGUUUCUUCUUCGCGAAUGCUAAACUAGAUUCUCGCUACUAUUCGAUUUUUUCGUUUUCUCGGAUUAUCAUAUCGAGAUUUAGUUUUCAAUGGAAUCACUCAGUUGCGUGCGGGAUACUUGAGUGUAUUGAACUCAGUAUCUUGACUAUCGAACAGCUGGUAUUGAAUUGGUUGUGACUAUCGAACAACCUUGGUUUAUUAGUAGCUAUUUAGCUUUGAUUUUGGAGAAGAAGCGUAGAGGAAGAUGGCAAAGAUGAUAAACAAGACGCUUGUGCUAACAUAUAUCUACUUACUCAUCUACGUUCUUCUCUCUUCCGGUGUCAUACUCUACAACAAGUGGGUUCUAUCUCCCAAAUACUUCAACUUUCCGCUUCCUAUUACAUUGACUAUGAUCCACAUGGGCUUUUCUGGAUUUGUGGCCUUCCUUCUUAUUCGUGUAUUCAAGGUUGUCUCUCCUGUUAAAAUGACAUUCGAAAUAUACGUGACCUGUGUGGUACCUAUAAGCGCAUUCUUUGCAUCCAGCCUCUGGUUUGGAAACACUGCAUAUUUGCACAUUUCAGUUGCCUUCAUACAGAUGCUCAAAGCACUAAUGCCGGUAGCAACAUUUAUCAUGGCCAUUGUUUGUGGCACUGACAACGCAAGGUGCGACGUGUUCAUGAACAUGCUGCUCGUCAGUGUUGGAGUUGUGAUAUCCUCCUAUGGAGAAAUUAAUUUCAACAUAAUUGGCACGGUCUACCAGGUCAUGGGGAUUUUUGCUGAGGCACUUAGACUGGUGCUUACUCAAGUUCUUCUUCAGAAAAAGGGCUUGACAUUAAACCCGGUCACAAGCUUAUACUAUAUAGCUCCCUGCAGCUUUGUUUUCCUGUCCUUGCCUUGGUAUGUACUGGAGAAACCGAACAUAGAAGUCUCGCAGAUCCAAUUCAACUUCUGGAUAUUUUUCUCGAACGCUCUCUGCGCACUUGCCUUGAACUUCUCCAUAUUCUUAGUAAUAGGAAGAACAGGAGCAGUAACCAUGAGGGUUGCUGGCGUUCUCAAGGACUGGAUUCUCAUAGCUCUCUCCACUGUCAUAUUUCCUGAGUCCACAAUCACCGGUCUGAACAUUAUUGGAUACGCAAUAGCACUAUGUGGGGUUGUAAUGUACAAUUACAUAAAAAUCAAGGAUGUGAAAGCGACUCAACCAAUCACUGAUAGCCUCCCAGAUCGAAUCACAAAGGAUUGGAAGGAGAAGAGGUCGUCGGAUGGUGAGAGUCCCAGAGGAGGAGUAGAGCUUAAUGAUGAGGAAGCUCCUUUGAUAACGUCUUCACGGUUGUCACAUAUCGGGCGGACACAGCUCGGAAGCCACACUGCUGUCUGAGCAACGUACAGAUGAGACUGAGAUAGACUCAUAUGUUGUCUCACUUCUCAGGAUAGUUAUGAGUUCCCCUGCGGCUGUUACAGUCAUCUGGGACUUUCAGUAUGCUUGGAUCCCUGAGGGCUACGAUCUUCGUUCCCUUAAGACCAGCAUUAAAUCUGCCCUCAAACGAUGCAAUCCUGAUUUCUUCAUAGAGGGGAAAUUGAUUGCAGUUGGACAUGCCAUUGGAGAUAGACAUCAAGCCAUCACUAUGCUCCCUGAUGACUUCGAACUCUCACCUGUCCAACCAGAUAACGCUCGUACUCCAGACCCAGAAGAUCAAACUGCUUUGGAGUUGGUCCUGAAGCUCUCUAUGAAAGUAUUACACAACAGGGCUAACAUUUUGGUCAUUUCUGGAAACCAUGAUGUGAUGGGUGCGAUUAACAGAUGGACACAAAGGGGUAUAUUUAUUAUGUUAGCCCUACCUGAAAGCUCGGACCCAAGCUUCUACCACUGUGCCAACGUGACUUGGCUUUUGUCUUCCGAAGAUCCUGAGAGAGUUGCUGCUACCAUGGUUAAUGGAGGUGGACCGAUCCCUCCUGUACCCCGUAUUAGAGGAUGAGCUUAAUAAAAUAGUGGUAGAUAUAACAAGAACUCCUAGUAAUAUCAUCUGUUUUAGUUUCAGACUCUCUUAUGCUUGCGCUGUUUUAGUUUCAGACUCUCUUUAGCUGCUUUGUUGUUUCGGAAUAUGACUUUUGAGUAAUAUUGUAGUAUUAAGCUUCUGUCUUUCUUU